rnacentral:rRNA from 1 species
GACGAACGCUGGCGGCGUGCUUAACACAUGCAAGUCGAACGGAAAGGCCCUGCUUUUGUGGGGUGCUCGAGUGGCGAACGAGUGAGUAACACGUGAGUAACCUGCCCUUGACUUUGGGAUAACUUCAGGAAACUGGGGCUAAUACCGGAUAGGAGCUCCUGCUGCAUGGUGGGGGUUGGAAAGUUUCGGCGGUUGGGGAUGGACUCGCGGCUUAUCAGCUUGUUGGUGGGGUAGUGGCUUACCAAGGCUUUGACGGGUAGCCGGCCUGAGAGGGUGACCGGCCACAUUGGGACUGAGAUACGGCCCAGACUCCUACGGGAGGCAGCAGUGGGGAAUAUUGCACAAUGGGCGGAAGCCUGAUGCAGCAACGCCGCGUGCGGGAUGACGGCCUUCGGGUUGUAAACCGCUUUCGCCUGUGACGAAGCGUGAGUGACGGUAAUGGGUAAAGAAGCACCGGCUAACUACGU